GCUCACCAAGCCUGUCUUAAAACCAAUUUGUUUAUUUUAAUAUCGAACUAGCGCACUUAGUGUAAGCUGAACUAUUGUGCUUCCCGUGUACAGCUUAAAGUGAAUUGCCUACCAAAGAAAGAAGAUGAAAUCUACUCUGUUCCUUUCUGUUUCUCUGAUAUCAAUUUGGAUGGUCGCUGUUAGUAAACAGUCUGGGUCUUUUUUGCUCAAGACAUUUUGUCCUGUGUGCAGGCGUAUGCCAUCGACCCUGUGUCUCAGCGACUGCCAGUCUGACAGGCACUGUGACAGGUUUAGCAUGUGCUGUGCAAACGAAUGCGGCCGGAAGGAGUGUAUGGUCGUCAGGGCAAAUUGCAGUGAGGACGGUAAAACGAUCCCCCACCAUGGACCGAUGAAGUACAAAGCCAGGAACAAGAACGACUGUGGCGAUUGUUGGUGUCAAAAUGGACAGAGAGAUUGUCGCAGUUUCCCUUGUAAAUAAUUAGUGUCCGGCUACCCAUGUAAACACU